AGUGAACGCUGGCGGUAGGCCUAACACAUGCAAGUCGAACGGCAGCACAGUAAGAGCUUGCUCUUACGGGUGGCGAGUGGCGGACGGGUGAGGAAUACAUCGGAAUCUACUUUUUUGUGGGGGAUAACGUAGGGAAACUUACGCUAAUACCGCAUACGACCUACGGGUGAAAGCAGGGGAUCUUCGGACCUUGCGCGAUUGAAUGAGCCGAUGUCGGAUUAGCUAGUUGGCGGGGUAAAGGCCCACCAAGGCGACGAUCCGUAGCUGGUCUGAGAGGAUGAUCGGCCACACUGGAACUGAGACACGGUCCAGACUCCUACGGGAGGCAGCAGUGGGGAAUAUUGGACAAUGGGCGCAAGCCUGAUCCAGCCAUACCGCGUGGGUGAAGAAGGCCUUCGGGUUGUAAAGCCCUUUUGUUGGGAAAGAAAAGCAGCAGGUUAAUACCCCGCUGUUCUGACGGUACCCAAAGAAUAAGCACCGGCUAACUUCGUG
rnacentral:rRNA from 1 species